AUGAAACCAAGUUUCACAUAGAAUGUUAAAUGCAAUCAUAGAUCUCUCAAGCACCUCUCUACUACAUAGAGGUCCAAAAUUUCAUCACAUAUAACAUAGGCAUUUUAAGCAUUCUAAAAAUCAUAAUAAAUACAUCUAACAUGAAUAUGCAUACUUUUUCAAUUAACGAUACUCAAAUCUUCACAAAUGAGAUCUUCCCAUUGUGUGGCUAGGUCAAACCCACCGAACCGUCGCGCAGUGCCUCGUUUCGCGGAACGAAGUUGUCCACGAGUCUCAAAGUAUCCUAAAAGUAUUGAGCGAAGAGAUACAAGGGCAUUACGAUCAACUAUA
rnacentral:lncRNA from 1 species